rnacentral:lncRNA from 1 species
UCAAAUUAAAAAAAAAUGUGGUUUUGAGAUUCCACUAAACACCAAACCAGAAAUUGAAAUACUUCAGUUUCAGCCACAAACAAUCUAGAAUCUGAAGAAUGCCUCAAAAUUUUCAGCCAAGACUACCUAUAGAGGCAAAAAUUGUCAUAGAUAUGCCCAAUCUAGGCAAACACUUGCUAUUUCUUCUUUAUUGCAGAUAGAAAGAAGCAUUUAGCAAGACUAAACUCAAAUUUUCAUCUUGCGAAGAUUAACAUCUGUGGCAUUAGAUUUCCCCAAAAAAAAACAUUAUAGCAAAAGCAAUGUUUUGACAUAAGCUUGAUAAUCUUGAUGCUCAAUCUGAUGGACAGGCACACAUUAGGCUGCCAUCAAACAGUAAAACAAUGCAUUACAUUUUUAAAUCAUAAAUCAAUUUCAACUUAGCUUUUCAUUUCAAAAGAUCAUCAAAUUAUUUAAGCCUGAAAAAAUUUCUGGAACAACACAUCAAAACAGUCCCAAAUCAAAUUUGGACGAUGUCUAUUUUACUUACUGACCAUUUGCCUUUAUAGUUUCUGCACGUUUUCUACUUUUUACUAAGUUCUGAUUCCGUUUAAAAUUUUUGGAUGGAACAGGUAAAAUUAGAGGCAAUACCACUGAAACCAUUUCAAAAUUGCCAGAUGAAAUUCACUUGUUGAGGAUUUAUGGCUAUAGCAUUGCAUCUCAGAUGCAAAGGGAUGGACAGCCAAGCUCAUCCUAGAAAGGGCCAAUAAAUAAAAAAUGCAUAUAACCAUCCUUAAGAAAUCUAGAAACAGAAAAGCAUAAUAGAAGAAGGUAGCAAGAGAGGACUUGCCCUACCCAUGAAAGUGGGGAAUGCUGUCUUCAGCCCCAAUACAUCCACAAACCGCUCGCGGACCCAUAUGCAGACUUCUAAUGCUUCAUUAUGAUGAUCAUCAGAUCCACUCCCUCCGACUUCAACAACCUCUCUUUGUUCUCUAUCGGCACAAACAGGUUACCGAGCAUCUCCUCGUCGGAGCU